ACUAUAAGCAAAUGUGAGAUUGGUUUCAUGUGACCCCUAUUCUUAUGUUCUCCAAAGAGCUACAAGCUAGCAGCUGCCUUAUAUAUGCUACAUAGGUUUAGGGUUUUAAGGCACCAACCACGGAGGAACUGAGUUACUUUUAUCAGUUGAGAACCUUGUGGUGGGAUGAUCAUCUGUUUCUUGGAUAAAGCAGCCCCCUUGUCGUUGAGUUUUUGGAUCCUCUUUUUUGUUUUAAAAGGAUCCUCAUUCCGCACAAAUGCUUGGUCACCAGUAUCCAAGGGCAAAACAGAAGAGCUUGGCGUGGUAGAUGCGGCAGCAGAUUCAGCGACUCCAUCAGAGGAAGCAAAGAUGCUUGGAACACCUGAC
rnacentral:lncRNA from 1 species